rnacentral:tRNA from 1 species
CUUCGUCAAAGCUAAAUCAUAGGCCAAAUCCUAUAUAUCUUA